AUGGUCAAUAGGAAAGCAUCCCUCCCCACGGUUUUGAAUUAAGUAACUGCAAUUGCUUCUCUAGCAGCCAACACCUGAGCAUCUGGAGGUGUGAUAGGGAACCAUGUAAUGAGCUUCUUCUUUCCUAAGAUCAACAACAGCCUCAAGUUUAGCACUAGAGACAACACAAGGGAAACACCCAUUACCACAAAAUUAGAAUCAACCAAACAGAAUAAAAUUGGUUGUGAUUGCCGCUGUAGAUAAAACUGUGAUUGACUGAAUCAAUCUGUGCUUUGAAAGAGUGUCCAGUGAAGUGCUGUAACAGCCAUGCAGAAACCAAACCUUGAGUGGUGCUGAAGAACAUGCAUCCUAUGGAUUCGCUGACUUCAAGAAGCAGGUCCUACUGCUAGGGACUGAAGAGGAACUUACUACCUGCCUCUGCUUCCAAGCCCUACAAGCUAACCCUGCAACUCAGGGUCUUCCUUUCCUUUUCUGAAAACACCAGUCAAUUAGAGUGUAAUGGACACAGCCCUGGACCAGACCUUUCUUCAGUUGCUUCACAUAGCAGAGAGAAUAGUUCUUCAGAACCAAAAUUUUGCCCGGUCACCUAAUUUCUACCACAUAAAGGGAUGCCACGAGAAUCAGUUGAUCAAAGUCUUAACAUGCUAAGAGAGAAGCUUCUGGAGCAUCAACAAAAAGGUGCCAGGCAGUGUCUAUAAGCAUCCCCACACAACAGAGAUGACUGGGUGGCCUUAUCCAUAUCUUCUGGCAGUACUAUCAUGGCUUUCUUUUUAUUUUCUCCAUUGAAUUCCUUCUACAUGGACCAUACUCUACUGUCCAUAAUUUCAGCAUAACAGUUUUCAGUUGUCCCACUCAUGGACGCCCUUCACACUCAAAAACUAUUGCAAAUGCCAGAGAAGUUAUAACUGUCAAUAGUUACUGUAAUAGAUAUUAAAGCCAGGGAAAGUUUAAAUGUUUAAUUCACCUAAAAUAAAAGUCUACUGCAUGUUAACAUAAAUCACACAUCUUUAUGGAACUUUAUUUUCCAUAACAAAACAGUGAGAUUCACA